CAAACGACUCUCGGCAACGGAUAUCUCGGCUCACGCAUCGAUGAAGAACGUAGCAAAAUGCGAUACUUGGUGUGAAUUGCAGAAUCCCGUGAACCAUCGAGUUUUUGAACGCAAGUUGCGCUCGAAGCCUUUUGGCCGAGGGCACGUCUGCCUGGGCGUCACAC
rnacentral:rRNA from 2 species